rnacentral:rRNA from 1 species
AGUGAACGCUGGCGGCAUGCUUUACACAUGCAAGUCGAAUGGUAACAGGUUAAGCUGACGAGUGGCGAACGGGUGAGUAAUGCAUCGGAACGUGCCCGAUCGUGGGGGAUAACGCAGCGAAAGCUGCGCUAAUACCGCAUACGAUCUGAGGAUGAAAGCGGGGGACCGUAAGGCCUCGCGCGAUCGGAGCGGCCGAUGUCAGAUUAGGUAGUUGGUGGGGUAAAGGCUAACCAAGCCAACGAUCUGUAGCUGGGCUGAGAGGGCGACCAGCCACACUGGGACUGGGACACGGCCCAGACUCCUACGGGAGGCAGCAGUGGGGAAUUUUGGACAAUGGGCGAAAGCCUGAUCCAGCAAUGCCGCAUGCAGGAAGAAGGCCUUCGGGUCGUAAACUGCUUUUGUACGGAGCGAAAAGGCCCUCUCUAAUACAGUGGGCUCAUGACGGUACCGUAAGAAUAAGCACCGGCUAACUACGUGCCAGCCGCCGCGGUAA